rnacentral:rRNA from 1 species
AUGGAACAAUAUCAUGUAUUUUUUAGAGAAAAUCAAUUGCUCAUGUAUAGGUGCACAUCAGCAGGAAAACUGGAAGGACAAAAAAAGGAAGGAAGAAUUAACUUUUCCAUGGCGGCAACCGAGCAAACGGUUGACGACAGACGGCGGAUGCGAGGCGUGCGGUCAGAACUGGAACCAACUGCAACACGACCAUGA